CCUACGGGAGGCAGCAGUGAGGAAUAUUGGUCAAUGGACGAGAGUCUGAACGAGCCAAGUAGCGUGAAGGAUGACUGCCCUCUGGGUUGUAAACUUCUUUUAUAUGGGAAUAAAAUGUUCCACGUGUGGGAUUUUGUAUGUACCAUAUGAAUAAGGAUCGGCUAACUCCGUGCCAGCAGCCGCGGUAAUACGGAGGAUCCGAGCGGUAUCCGGAUUUAUUGGGUUUAAAGGGAGCGUAGGUGGAUUGUUAAGUCAGUGGUGAAAGUUUGCGGCUCAACCGUAAAAUUGCAGUUGAAACUGGCAGUCUUGAGUACAGGAGAGGUGGGCGGAAUUCGUGGUGUAGCGGUGAAAUGCUUAGAUAUCACGAAGAACUCCGAUUGCGAAGGCAGCUCACUGGACUGCAACUGACACUGAGGCUCGAAAGUGUGGGUAGCAAACAGGAUUAGAUACCCGGGUAGUC
rnacentral:rRNA from 1 species